UACGGGGGGAGCAAGCGUUGUUCGGAUUUACUGGGCGUAAAGGGCGCGUAGGCGGCUUGGCAAGUGGAUGGUGAAAUCCCUCGGCUUAACCGAGGAACUGCCGUCCAAACUGCUUCGCUUGAGACCGGGAGAGGUGAGUGGAAUUCCCAGUGUAGCGGUGAAAUGCGUAGAUAUUGGGAGGAACACCAGUGGCGAAGGCGGCUCACUGGACCGGUACUGACGCUGAUGCGCGAAAGCGUGGGGAGCGAACAGG
rnacentral:rRNA from 1 species